CCUACGGGGGGCAGCAGUCGAGAAUCAUUCACAAUGGGGGAAACCCUGAUGGUGCGACGCCGCGUGGGGGAAUGAAGGUCUUCGGAUUGUAAACCCCUGUUAUGUGGGAGCAAAUGAGAAAGAUAGUACCACAAGAGGAAGAGACGGCUAACUCUGUGCCAGUAGCUGCGGGAAUACAGAGGUCUUAAGCGUUGUUCGGCAUGAGUGGGCGUAAAGUGUGCGGAGGCGGUUUCGUAAGUCGUGUGUGAAAGGCGCGGGCUCAAACCGCGGAGGGCAGAUGAUACUGCGCGACUAGAGUAAUGGAGAGGGACGCGGAAUUCGCGGUGUAGCAGUGAAAUGCGUAGAUAUCGAGAGGAACACUCGUGGCGAAGGCGGGUUCCUGGACAUUAACUGACGCUGAGGCACGAAGGCCAGGGGAGCGAAAGGGAUUAGAUACCCCAGUAGUC
rnacentral:rRNA from 1 species